GAAGGUACAGCUCAAGUGGUAAAGCACAUGCUUAGCAUGCAUGAGGUCCUGGGUUCAAUCCCCAGUACCUCCU
rnacentral:tRNA from 1 species